rnacentral:rRNA from 1 species
GAUGAACGCUGGCGGCGUGCCUAAUACAUGCAAGUCGAGCGAACAGACGAGGAGCUUGCUCCUCUGACGUUAGCGGCGGACGGGUGAGUAACACGUGGAUAACCUACCUAUAAGACUGGGAUAACUUCGGGAAACCGGAGCUAAUACCGGAUAAUAUAUUGAACCGCAUGGUUCAAUAGUGAAAGACGGUUUUGCUGUCACUUAUAGAUGGAUCCGCGCCGCAUUAGCUAGUUGGUAAGGUAACGGCUUACCAAGGCAACGAUGCGUAGCCGACCUGAGAGGGUGAUCGGCCACACUGGAACUGAGACACGGUCCAGACUCCUAAGGGAGGCAGCAGUAGGGAAUCUUCCGCAAUGGGCGAAAGCCUGACGGAGCAACGCCGCGUGAGUGAUGAAGGUCUUCGGAUCGUAAAACUCUGUUAUUAGGGAAGAACAAAUGUGUAAGUAACUAUGCACGUCUGGACGGUACCUAAUCAGAAAGCCACGGCUAACUACGUG